CCUGGAUUCAACAUGCUCUCACUGCAUCAGGCUCUAUCUUCUCUACUGCUUCUCUCCACUCUAACAGCAAUCAGCUGUGAAGAACUCACACCGGUCCACAAUGAAGAGUUCAGUGCAGAAGGCAGCUCUGUUACUCUGUCCUAUAACUCCUCCAAAGUGAACCCAGGGGAUUAUUUCUUCUGGUAUCGACAGAAUCCAGGACAAGCUCCAGAGUUCCUCCUCUCAAAAUAUGCUUCAGGACAAGAAGCUGCUCCAACAUCUGGACUGAAGAUCCAAGUGGAGCAGAACCAAAUCCACAUGAUCAUCUCCUCUGCUGCAGUGACAGACUCUGCUGUGUACUACUGUGCUGUGAGGCCCACAGUGACAGGAAACUACACAACUCUGUACAAAAACUCCAGCUGCCAGAAGCCUCCUCUCCUCACUGCUCACCUCAGCUUCUUCCCUCCACUAGAGGGCGAUAUAAGUCAGUAG